rnacentral:rRNA from 1 species
UACGGAGGGUGCGGAGCGUUGUCCGGAUUUAUUGGGUUUAAAGGGUGCGUAGGUGGGUUAAUAAGUCAGUGGUGAAAUACGGUUGCUCAACAAUCGAGGUGCCAUUGAUACUGUUAAUCUUGAAACAAGUGGAGGUUGCCGGAAUGGAUGGUGUAGCGGUGAAAUGCAUAGAUAUCAUCCAGAACACCGAUUGCGAAGGCAGGUGACUACGUUUUGAUUUGACACUGAGGCACGAAAGCAUGGGGGAGCAAACAGG